rnacentral:rRNA from 1 species
GAUGAACGCUGGCGGCGUGCCUAAUACAUGCAAGUCGAGCGAACAGACGAGGAGCUUGCUCCUCUGACGUUAGCGGCGGACGGGUGAGUAACACGUGGAUAACCUACCUAUAAGACUGGGAUAACUUCGGGAAACCGGAGCUAAUACCGGAUAAUAUAUUGAACCGCAUGGUUCAAUAGUGAAAGACGGUUUUGCUGUCACUUAUAGCUGGAUCCGCGCCGCAUUAGCUAGUUGGUAAGGUAACAGCUUACCAAGGCAACGAUGCGUAGCCGACCUGAGAGGGUGAUCGGCCACACUGGAACUGAGACACGGUCCAGACUCCUACGGGAGGCAGCAGUAGGGAAUCUUCCGCAAUGGGCGGAAGCCUGACGGAGCAACGCCGCGUGAGUGAUGAAGGUCUUCGGAUCGUAAAACUCUGUUAUUAGGGAAGAACAAAUGUGUAAGUAACUAUGCACGUCUUGACGGUACCUAAUCAGAAAGCCACGGCUAACUACGUG